rnacentral:rRNA from 1 species
GUAGGUGGCAAGCGUUGUCCGGAAUUAUUGGGCGUAAAGCGCGCGCAGGCGGUUCUUUAAGUCUGAUGUGAAAGCCCACGGGCUCAACCGUGGAGGGUCGUUGGAAACUGGAGAACUUGAGUACAGAAGAGGAAAGCGGAAUUCCACGUGUAGCGGUGAAAUGCGUAGAGAUGUGGAGGAACACCAGUGGCGAAGGCGGCUUUCUGGUCUGUAACUGACGCUGAGGCGCGAAAGCGUGGGGAGCAAACAGGAUUAGAUACCCUGGUAGUCCACGCCGUAAACGAUGAGUGCUAAGUGUUAGGGGGUUUCCGCCCCUUAGUGCUGCAGCUAACGCAUUGAGCACUCCGCCUGGGGAGUACGGCCGCAAGGCUG